AUUGUUGGCAAUGUCGUAUGUUUCGCGUUCCAAGCGACCAAGGCGACUAAGCACACAGAGAAAAACGCACAGACACAGCCACAAAAGCGACUGCUGCCCUGCGAGAGCGAGCGGUGCACUGAGAGAAAUAACCUGACUUCUUUACAGUAUGUUUUGUUAGCCCCAAACUUCAUUAUAGGGAAAAAUAUAAAAUUAUUUAUACACUUUAUUAAUGAUCAAUGUAAGCGGCAUUAAUUUAAUUUAAUAGUUAAGCGGUUCAAAUAAGUACCAAUAAAAUACGCAUUCUCUCAGUGUAUCAACCAGUAUCUAUCGGCUACGUAGAACACUGAAGCAACAGCAACAACAUGACACGAGUGGACGGCGAGCAAACAGAGAACAACGCACACUCUCCGCCGCACACACACAGAUACUCACACGGAAACACACCAGUACGGCAAUACAAACACACACAGCUGGCUGCUCAACAGCAGGCAACUUUUUAUUGUUGUUGCUGGCAACGAACAACAAAUAAGACAAACAAUGCACACGCACACGAAUGACGAGUGUUUUCGAGUCGGAGAAACGGCAACUGCGCGGUACGAAAUGCAAAGAUACAGAUACAAUGGGUUGGCUGAGGGAAGAGGAGGGUAGGGGAGGGAUACGACACAGGUCAACAAAAAUUGUUGCACUGCAUCACGAGUGUUGCCUGUCGUUAGAGGCUAAGUUACCCACCCCGAAAGGAUCUCUCAAAGGAUCAGCGUACUGCUGGGUAAUCCUGAUCGUAACCCUUGAUUCAAAUGGAUUUUCAAAAGAAAUAUCAUGUGCAAGAUCUUUUUCUAUGUAUUUAAUUGUUUUUGUUCCGCAAUACAAUUUUUACAAAACAUUACAUUUAUAUGUGUUGAUUGUUGAAUAUAACUUCAGGCUUAUUUUUAUUUAUUUCCAUGUCCAUUAACAGGUAUAAUUUGUUUUCCCCAAAAAUAUAUUUGUGAACAGGUGA